rnacentral:rRNA from 1 species
UACGAAGGGGGCUAGCGUUGCUCGGAAUCACUGGGCGUAAAGGGUGCGUAGGCGGGUAAGUAAGUCCGGGGUGAAAUCUCUGAGCUUAACUCAGAAACUGCCGUGGAUACUAUUUGCCUUGAAUAUUGUGGAGGUGAGCGGAAUAUGUCAUGUAGCGGUGAAAUGCUUAGAUAUGACAUAGGACACCAAUUGCGAAGGCAGCUCACUACACAAUCAUUGACGCUGAGGCACGAAAGCGUGGGGAUCAAACAGG